AUUGAACGCUGGCGGCAGGCCUAACACAUGCAAGUCGAGCGAGCGGCGGACGGGGGAGAAAAGUCCGGGAAACUGCCGGAUGGAGAGGGAGAAAAACAGGGAAAGGUAGCUAAUACAGCAUAUCACAAGAUGUGCGCAGAGGGGAGUAGCGGGAUGUGGGGGGAACGGCUCACCUAGGCGACGAUCCCUAGCUGGUCUGAGAGGAUGAGCAGCCACACUGGAACUGAGACACGGUCCAGACUCUUACGGGAGGCAGCAGUGGGGAAUAUUGCACAAUGGGCGCAAUCCUGAUGCAGCCAUGCCGCUUGUGUGAAGAAGGCCUUCGGGUUGUAAAGCACUUUCAGCGGGGAGGCGUUACCCGCAGAAGAAGCACCGGCUAACUCCGUGCCAGCAGCCGCGGUAAUAC
rnacentral:rRNA from 1 species